GAUGAACGCUGGCGGCGUGCCUAAUACAUGCAAGUCGAGCGAACGGACGAGAAGCUUGCUUUUCUGAUGUUAGCGGCGGACGGGUGAGUAACACGUGGAUAACCUACCUAUAAGACUGGGAUAACUUCGGGAAACCGGAGCUAAUACCGGAUAAUAUUUUGAACCGCAUGGUUCAAAAGUGAAAGACGGUCUUGCUGUCACUUAUAGAUGGAUCCGCGCUGCAUUAGCUAGUUGGUAAGGUAACGGCUUACCAAGGCAACGAUGCAUAGCCGACCUGAGAGAGUGAUCGGCCACACUGGAACUGAGACACGGUCAUGGCUCCUACGAGAGGGAGCAGUAGGGAAUCUUCCGCAGUAGGCGAAAGCAUGACGGAGCAACGCCGCGUGAGAGAUGGAGGUCUUCGGAUCGUAAAACUCUGUUAUUAGGGAAGAACAUAUGUGUAAGUAACUGUGCACAUCUUGACGGUACCUAAUCAGAAAGCCACGGCUAACUACGUG
rnacentral:rRNA from 1 species